GGCAGUUACUACAAGUAUGUGCACAAGAGUAUUCAACAUGCAAAUGCAUAAGUAUGCAACUAAUCCAAUGUCCACAAUGUAAAUAGUAAAGAUGUCAUUGUUUACUAUUCUAGUCAAUGUCCACUUGUCACUUUAAUUGUUUACAGUUCAACUUUGAUAAGACCCACCCGAAGGCUGUUUGGCAUAAGACCCACCCGAAGGCUGUCUAGCUUUACCGUGCCUAAUGGCCCCGUGGUAGUCAACAUCCCCACUCUAGGAAUGAGCCUUUCCCACAGCAAUCCACUUCGGCGCCCAAUCCCGCACGGCGAACGUAUCGCGAUAGCCAACUCCGGAGUGCCGGCUUGUAAGGAGCGACCCUCACAAGCAUGUGCGAAUGAGCACAAUAGCAAGCAUGCGUAUAAGUCUGUCUCAAGUACCAAGUCUUCAUGUCUAAAACAUGGAAUAUAUCGAAUGUCACAAAGGCCUAUCACUAUGUCAUCAUGUCUCUAACAUGGAAUAUAGUCGAUGUCCAAUGGCCUAUCACUAUGUCUCUAUGUUGCAUUUUCAUAGUUUACUAGUUCCAAGUGUCCCUUUAUGACACUAUUGCUCAAUGAGUCCAAGCAUGGUAUUUAUGUUCAUGAAUACAUAAUUCUACUCAUUUCAAACAUAAGAGACAUGUUCUCAACUUGCAAAGCUAUCCAUCUUUCACAAUGCAUGCAGUCUACACAUAUAGCUCUACUAUAUAGAGUUCAAUUUCAUAAAUACAU
rnacentral:lncRNA from 1 species